UGUUGGAACAAAAUUGAUUUAAAAAAUGUUUGCCCCUAAAUCUAUAAAGGUUUUGAUGAUAACAAAGUAUUAAUAAACAAUUGGAAGGACUAAAAAUUUAUUUUAAGUGCGCAGAUAUAAGCAUCAUAUAAGCUCUGAGUGAAGUUCAGAAGAUGUGAACUCAGAAGUUCACAAGCGCUUAGAAGAUGUUGGACUUCAGAGGUUACAACGUUCAGAGGAUGAAGACUUCAGAACUUCUUGUCUGUCUACAAGCUUCAUCAAACUCUGAAGAUCUCUUUGUAAGAGGUGAAGAUUCUCUUUUCCAGUCAACUCUUCUACCAAUGAAGAAAAGGACCUUUCAAGCCUGAUCAGUUCAGCUACCUCUGUUUUGUCUGUCCUAUCUUGAGAACGUGGGUCUUCAGUUUUGUUAGCUGAAUAAGGAAAGUCCACUCUGCAGUAGUCAAAGUAACUGAAACUCUUUCUUAGUUUUGGAUACAACCAAACUGCAUCAAGACAGACUGCUUGAAAACAAAAGAUUAUCAACUCCAACGGUUCUUUUUGCAACGACUCUUUUCU
rnacentral:lncRNA from 1 species